CACGUAGGGGGCAAGCGUUGUCCGGAUUUAUUGGGCGUAAAGAGCUCGUAGGCGGCUCAGUAAGUCGAGUGUGAAAGCCCCCGGCUCAACUGGGGAGGGUCAUUCGAUACUGAUCGACUCGAAGGCAGGAGAGGGUAGUGGAAUUCCCGGUGUAGUGGUGAAAUGCGUAGAUAUCGGGAGGAACACCAGUGGCGAAGGCGACUACCUGGCCUGUUCUUGACGCUGAGGCGCGAAAGCUAGGGGAGCAAACGGG
rnacentral:rRNA from 1 species